rnacentral:rRNA from 1 species
GAUGAACGCUGGCGGCGUGCUUAACACAUGCAAGUCGAACGAAGCACUUUAUUUGAUUUCUUCGGAAUGAAGAUUUUGUGACUGAGUGGCGGACGGGUGAGUAACGCGUGGGUAACCUGCCUCAUACUGGGGGAUAGCAGCUGGAAACGGCUGGUAAUACCGCAUAAGCGCACAAUGUUGCAUGACAUGGUGUGAAAAACUCCGGUGGUAUAAGAUGGACCCGCGUCUGAUUAGCUAGUUGGUGAGAUAACAGCCCACCAAGGCGACGAUCAGUAGCCGACCUGAGAGGGUGACCGGCCACAUUGGGACUGAGACACGGCCCAGACUCCUACGGGAGGCAGCAGUGGGGAAUAUUGCACAAUGGAGGAAACUCUGAUGCAGCGACGCCGCGUGAGUGAAGAAGUAAUUCGUUAUGUAAAGCUCUAUCAGCAGGGAAGAUAGUGACGGUACCUGACUAAGAAGCU